rnacentral:rRNA from 1 species
GAUGAACGCUGGCGGCGUGCCUAAUACAUGCAAGUCGAGCGAACGGACGAGAAGCUUGCUUCUCUGAUGUUAGCGGCGGACGGGUGAGUAACACGUGGAUAACCUACCUAUAAGACUGGGAUAACUUCGGGAAACCGGAGCUAAUACCGGAUGAUAUUUUGAACCGCAUGGUUCAAAAGUGAAAGACGGUCUUGCUGUCACUUAUAGAUGGAUCCGCGCUGCAUUAGCUAGUUGGUAAGGUAACGGCUUACCAAGGCAACGAUGCAUAGCCGACCUGAGAGGGUGAUCGGCCACACUGGAACUGAGACACGGUCCAGACUCCUACGGGAGGCAGCAGUAGGGAAUCUUCCGCAAUGGGCGAAAGCCUGACGGAGCAACGCCGCGUGAGUGAUGAAGGUCUUCGGAUCGUAAAACUCUGUUAUUCGGGAAGAACAUAUGUGUAAGUAACUGUGCACAUCUUGACGGUACCUAAUCAGAAAGCCACGGCUAACUACGUG